rnacentral:lncRNA from 1 species
UCACUGCCUUGCUAAUUAGAACCUAAAAGAUUGUUCACCAAUACACUAUUGUAGUGAGUAACUAAUGGAUGAAGGAAAUAAUUAAUUGGAUUAAUUAAGUGUUGUGAUUAAUUUAGAAAGUCUAAAGAAAUCAUAAAAGCGAUAAAGAUCAUUUUUGGCUUAAAGAAACGUUCGGGUUUAAUUGGGCCCAUUGGGCUUUUAUUCAAGCAUUGGAUGACUUGAAAUAAUAAAAGCCCAAAGCCCAAACAAACAACAAAGAGGCCGGCCAUUUUAGGUGUGGAAAGGGUGAGAUAUUUAGUCAAGUUGUUGGCUAGGUUUCUUUGUCUAUAUAAGGAACUUUAUAGUGAUAUUUUCCUUAGGGUUUUUGUGUGGUUAAAACAACAAAGAGGCAAAAGAAUAUCUCUCUAAGAACUACACAAAGGCCGGCCACCUUGGGGUGAUUUUACUA